AGAGUUUGAUCCUGGCUCAGGAUGAACGCUAGCGGUAGGCUUAAUACAUGCAAGGCGAGGGGGCAGCAAUGUCACCGUCGUACGGGUGCGUAACGCGUAUGCAACCUACCUUCAACUGGGGGAUAGCCCGGGGAAACCCGGAUUAAUACCGCAUAAUUCAUAUGGGCCUCAUGGCUUGUUUUGUUAAAGAUUUAUUGGUUGAAGAUGGGCAUGCGUUCGAUUAGCUAGUUGGCAGGGUAACGGCCUACCAAGGCAACGAUCGAUAGGGGAGCUGAGAGGUUGAUCCCCCACACGGGCACUGAGAUACGGGCCCGACUCCUACGGGAGGCAGCAGUAGGGAAUAUUGGGCAAUGGAUGCAAGUCUGACCCAGCCAUGCCGCGUGCCGGAUGAAGGCCCUCAGGGUUGUAAACGGCUUUUAUUCGGGAAGAAGAGCAGGGAUGCGUCCUUGUGUGACGGUACCGAAUGAAUAAGCACCGGCUAACUCCGUGCCAGCAGCCGCGGUAAUACGGAGGGUGCGAGCGUUGUCCGGAUUUAUUGGGUUUAAAGGGUGCGUAGGUGGCUUUAUAAGUCAGUGGUGAAAUACAGCCGCUCAACGGUUGAGGUGCCAUUGAUACUGUAGAGCUUGAAACAAGUGGAGGCUGCCGGAAUGGAUGGUGUAGCGGUGAAAUGCAUAGAUAUCAUCCAGAACACCGAUUGCGAAGGCAGGUGGCUACGUUUGAUUUGACACUGAGGCACGAAAGCGUGGGGAGCAAACAGGAUUAGAUACCCUGGUAGUCCACGCCCUAAACGAUGUCUACUAGUUGUCGGGUCUUAAUUGACUUGGUAACGCAGCUAACGCGUGAAGUAGACCGCCUGGGGAGUACGGUCGCAAGAUUAAAACUCAAAGGAAUUGACGGGGACCCGCACAAGCGGUGGAUGAUGUGGAUUAAUUCGAUGCAACGCGAAAAACCUUACCUACCCUUGACAUGUCUGGAAUCCUUGAGAGAUCAGGGAGUGCUCGAAAGAGAAUCAGAACACAGGUGCUGCAUGGCUGUCGUCAGCUCGUGUCGUGAGAUGUUGGGUUAAGUCCCGCAACGAGCGCAACCCUUGUCAUUAGUUGCUACGAAAGGGCACUCUAAUGAGACUGCCGGUGACAAACCGGAGGAAGGUGGGGAUGACGUCAAGUCCUCAUGGCCCUUAUGGGUAGGGCUUCACACGUCAUACAAUGGUACAUACAGAGGGCCGCCAACCCGCGAGGGGGAGCUAAUCCCAGAAAGUGUAUCGUAGUCCGGAUUGUAGUCUGCAACUCGACUACAUGAAGUUGGAAUCGCUAGUAAUCGCGGAUCAGCAUGUCGCGGUGAAUACGUUCCCGGGUCUUGUACACACCGCCCGUCACACCAUGGGAGCGGGUUUCACCAGAAGUGGGUAGCCUAACCGCAAGGAGGGCGCUCACCACGGUGGGAUUCGUGACUGGGGUGAAGUCGUAACAAGGUA
rnacentral:rRNA from 1 species